UGGCACUCCGUGCGGGCUGCCGGGGUAAUACGGAGGAGUCAAGCGUUUUCCGGGAUAAUUGGGCGUAAAGCGUCCUGAUGUGGCUAGUCAAGUCGGCGGUGAAAGACUGGGGCUUAACCCUGGAAAGGCCGUGGAAACUGCCGAGGUAGAGUGCAGUAGGGGUAGAGGAAAUUCCCGGUGUAGCGGUGAAAUGCGUAGAGCUCGGGAAGAACAUCGGUGGCGAAAGCGCUCUACUGGACUGCAACUGACACUCAGGGACGAAAGCUAGGGGAGCGAAUGGGAUUAGAUACCCUUGUAGUC
rnacentral:rRNA from 1 species